UUGUGUUUCAUCUCUUUAGUUCUGUGUUUGUUUGUUUUGUUUGUUUGUUUUACUCUCUUUUGUAGUGUGUAAAAUAAGAGUUGAACCUGUUGAAGAGUUGUAGCUUUUGUUUUGAAGAGCGAACUUUAGUACGGUUAUUAAGAAAGCUAGAAAAAGGUACAAUGGAAAACAAAUGCUUGUCAUUCACUGAUUUUUCAGGACUGAAAUGAAGAUGAACUUGACAUUAGCUUUUCUGCUACAUCUAUUUGUUUGCUAUCUGUGAUGCAGCUGUUUGUGUUUGUUAUUUUCAGUAGCGCAUAUUUAAAUACCAGUGUGAGGCCUGUGUUGUCGUAGUGGACAUUAUGCUUUGCUGACAAAAAUAUCAGCAUUCAUUUGUCUUUCCUGGAUCUAGCAAAUGUGAUAUAAAUACUUGAAGUGUGUUUUUUUUUUUUUUGUCAUGAAUGUCUUCCAUUUGUUCUGUGAAGUGAACAGUAUGGUGGAAGCGCAGGUGUGAGCCGUAGUGAUGUGGCGUGUGCUUCUCCUAAUGGACUGAUGGUGGAAAUGCAGGGUGAAGUGCUGUCAUUUUCUCCAUCUCUCUGCCUCUCCUUCCAUCUCCUUUAUUUCCCCUACCUUUUUUUAUUUAUUUUUUACUUUAUUGCACCUCUCUGUUUUUCGUUCUCUAACUGUUUUUUUUCUUUUCAUUUUAUAACUCUCUCUCGUUCCCUGAUUUGUUCUCCUGUUCGUCUUGCUCUCUCCCUCUUGUCCCUCCAUCUCUCUCUGUUUUCUCCAUAUCUUUCAUACACAGUCACCCCCCCCCCCCCCUCAUCCUUCCCUGCUGUUGCUUAAUGCUAUUCCUGGUUGAUGCAGGAGAGGUGAUGGUGGGCAACUACACUGGGAGACAGACAGAGAGAGCCGGGACUAAGCUCCUCUCUCCUCUCCUCUCCUCUCCUCCUUUCCUCUCCUCUCCUCUCUUCUCCUGUCCUGUGUCCCUCUUCUGCCUUCUGCUCUCGCAGGAAGAGUGCCAUCUAGACCUUGAAGCAGGGUUUAGUGCCCCCACCACCACCACCACCACCUUCCGUCUUUGUUUGUUUAUUUAUUUAUUUUAAAGGCAACAUAGGAAAAUGUUCCGCUUGUCAGCGGUAUUGGAGAAGUGGGGAAUGAUGCGGGAAUUGGAGAUAGACACAAAAGUUAUAAAACAGAGAGAGAGAGAGAGAGGGGAAAGUGAGGGAGAGGGAGAGGCAGGGAGAGAGGGAGGGAGGGAGAGAGGGAGAGAGAUGGCACUGAAGAGAAGAGAAGAGGACAUUCUGAGUCAGCAGGUCAACCUUUGCCCUUUUUUUAUUGUUCAGAGGAGGAAUACUCUGAAGCAGCUCCAUCCCCAC
ensembl:lncRNA